GAAAAAACUUUCAAGUAACCAGAUGUCACACAAUUUAUAAUCAAUGGAUUUCUAAGGACACCACAUCAGUGUAUCAUGACAAGAUUUCAGCCUGCCUGUCAUGUCAGGAAAGUUUGGAGAAGGUUCAGAUUUUUGUAGAAGCUGUGAGCACUGUGAUAGCUCGGGCUGGAGCAAGGUAUUUGCAGAAGGAACGAAGCUCAUAGUAAUCCCUUCUGACAAAAUGUUUGAUGCAGACAUUUCCCCCAAGCCUACCAUUUUCCUUCCUUCCGUUGCUGAAACGAAUCUCCAUAAGGCUGGGACAUACCUUUGUCUCCUUGAGAAAUUCUUCCCUGAUGUUAUAAGGGUAUACUGGAAAGAAAAGGAUGGCGAUAAGAUCCUGGAAUCCCAGGAAGGGAAUACACUGAAAACCAAUGACACAUACAUGAAGUUUAGCUGGCUUACCGUGACUUCAGAGUCAAUGCGUAAAGAGCACAGAUGCAUUGUCAAACAUGAGAACAAUAAAAAAGGAGUUGAUCAAGAGAUUUCCUUUCCUCCAAUAGAGAAAGGUAUGUGCACGUAUCCUUUGAAAUAUAGCUUUCUAGAAAAUGUGUUUGAAAAUAUCCAGCUUCAGCUCACGAGCACCUCUGCCUACUACACCUACCUUCUCCUCCUCCUCAAGAGUGCGAUCCACCUGGCCAUGGUCAGCUUUUCUCUGGCUAGAAGAGCAGCUACCUGUGGCAAUGAGAAGAAAUCCUAAAGAAGUGAACGGUGGCGCAACGAGUCAGCUCCUGUUCAUCCUCCCUGUGAAAUUGUGCCUUACGGGGCCCAGCUGGAUUUUCUUGCUAACUUUGACCUCUGUAAAAUCCCAUGCAUAACAUUCUGUCAUCGCUUAAAAGUUUUCAGACUUUCAUAAGCGAUUCGAGCAACUUCUCUCUAACCAAGGAUACCUCCCUUCUGAUUCUAUCCUCUUCAGUAGUUCCCUCCCCCAGGAGCCGGGAGCAUCACAGCUCCAGUACACGUAGCUUGCACCUUCUACCCGCAGUCCUUGUUGCCCUUGAGCCAGCUAACUCCCUUGAAAGCCUCCAAGCUAGACACCCUGAAGAGCCUU